AUAUUAUUUCGUAGAUUACUUGAACAAUUUUGCUUUAUUUUAUUAUCUUUUUGUUGUCAUAUUCAUAUCUUUUCUGUAAUAUAACUUGAUUGCUAUUAAUACAUUUAUCUUAUAUUCUUAUAGUUUAAUAGGAAUAAUAUGAAGAUAACAUUUUAUUUAUAAAUAUAGUAUAAGAAUGUUACUGUGCUAUGCAAUGUUUUUGAAGUCAAAAAAUGGAUACCUAAGUAUUACUAACGUUAGUAAUACUUAAGUAUCUAUUUUUUGAUAUGUUGUAUAAUACUUAGGUAUCCAUUUUUUGAUAUGUUUGAUAUUUAGUGCUUCAUAUGUUGUAACAUAUGAAUCACUAAAUAGGAAAAGUUACCAAGUCUAUAUAUCUAGAUUUGAACAUAUAAGUGUUUUUAACAAAAUAAUUUAAGAAUUCAUUGUUGACUUUAUUUUUUUUCUAGGAGUUUAAUCAUUAUUAUUUUUUUUUUUUUUGAAUAAAUUUGGUAAUUUAUUUACAUAUCGUCAUAUUAGAAUUAUAAGGUUCUAUCUGCCUUUUUUUAUGUUGUGAGAACUUAACUUUUAAUAUUUAUUUAAUACAUGUUUUACAGCUGUUAUUCAUUAUAAUUAUUAAUUAUAAGUUGUUUAUGUUAUCUGUUAAAAAUGUCAAAAAAUUAUAUAUAAUAUAUCAUUUUUUAAGUGGUUUGUGUUUAUUAUUAAUUAUUAAUUAAAACUUUGAUUGUUAAAUUCUUUCAACAUAAAACAAGGCAGAUAGAACCUUAUGAUUCUCAUGCGACGAUAUAUAUACAAUAAAUGAACCAACAAAGUUGUGAUACACAUUAUUAGUGUAUAGUCUAACAAAAGUAGAUGCUAAACUUUAACAGCUUUUCACAGUUUUGUAUAUAUUUAUAGUAGAGUAUUAAUAAUAUAAUUUUUUUUGCUUUCACAACUUCUAGUUGAAAAUGGUUUUAUUUUUCAGCUAUUCUAUUUAUAAAAAAAUAAUGUUGAUCGUUUGAUUUUUACAUUGUUAUUUAUAUAUCAUUUAUUGUUGUCUUUUGUAAUAGAAUUUUUUAUAAAUAUUGGAGCAUUAUGCCAAUUUAUUACAUCCAAGUCAAUAAUAGUUCUGUAUAGUUAUAUCACAUCACCUCUUGAUCUUCUAAUUUUUAAUGUGGAGAGAAAGGUUUAUCAGUGAGUUCUUACAUGAUAAAUCUUUUGAACAAUAAACACAAAUUGCUCUAUGUUGGAAUUGUUUAAUCAUAAUAACAUGUUUCCAUAUAUGUAAACUCCUUAAUGAGGUUCAAUAUUCAAGGUAAGGUCUAAAUAAUGAUGUACUAUUAAUGUUAUAUUUAUUUUAUCUAAUGAUUUCAAGAAGUGUUUGAUUUGCCCUAAUAUCAAACUUCCAAAAUCAUUUUUUCUCUAUAAUUUGAUUUUUAAAAUGCUCUCAUUAAAAGUUAUAAAGAAUUGCCAAUAAUGAUGCUAAUAACCUGAUUUUUGUUUUAGUAUGUAGCAUAUAUUUUUAUAUAUUUUAUUUUAGUAUGUAUCAGGGAUGCGGAGUCCCAAAAAGGACUCAAAAAGAUUACUUCUUUCUAAUUUUUAGUAUCCAGGAGCUUUAAAAACAUAAAAAAGGUUAUGGGUACUAUUGGGGAAAAAAUCAAGGCUUAUAGGUCAGAAGAACAAUCAAUUUUUGAACCCGGAGUCUUUAGGUAUAGUGGCAACAAGGACUCCAGGCUUAAAAACAAUAAGUUCCAAGUCAUUAAAUAUCAUUAAUUUUUUUCAUAUAGCAAAUCAUUAAUCAACCAACAUGUUUAGAGCUUCUGGACACCAGAGACCAUAAAAAAAUAAAGUUAUAAAGCCGGAGUCCUUUUGGGACUCCGCAUCCCUUGUAUGUAUGCUCCAAACUUUCUGCAACUGUGAUAAUAAAACUCAGUUCCAUAUAUUUGAUUUCUUUUCUUAUUUUGUUAUUUUAUAUGAAAAACUUUAAAUAAAAUAAUUUUAAUUAUAAGAUUUAAUAGUAUUGAUGUUUUGUUUUUAGAAUUUGUUUGUGACGAUUAAUGUGCCACUACAUAAAUGUAGUAAAUAUUAAUGAAGCUGUGGCAUUAAGCGUAAUGUUGACACAAAAAUCUGAAUCUGCUGUGAAUUAAAUUAAAUAUCAUGAAAUGUCAAAUCUCAAGAAAUUAUUUUAAAGACAAAUUUUUAAUAGAGUUUUGGUCCAUAAUAAUCCAAGUACAACAUGUUUUAAUAAAUAUAUUUUUAAAACGGAUGCAAGCACUAAAGAAGACAAUAACGUUACAAGUUGAAGCAGAAAUUUAUAACGAAUCAUGUUGACGAUUGGAUAUGAAUCGCAGAAAAGUACCAUUGUCGAAUGAUUAUAAAUCAAAUCUUUGUAUUAUAAUUGCGUAAAUAUAUUUUAAAAUUUAA
rnacentral:lncRNA from 1 species